GACGUAGGGCGCGAGCGUUGUCCGGAUUUAUUGGGCGUAAAGAGCUCGUAGGCGGCUUGUCGCGUCGACCGUGAAAACUCGCAGCUCAACUGCGAGCCUGCGGUCGAUACGGGCAGGCUAGAGUUCGGUAGGGGAGACUGGAAUUCCUGGUGUAGCGGUGAAAUGCGCAGAUAUCAGGAGGAACACCGAUGGCGAAGGCAGGUCUCUGGGCCGAUACUGACGCUGAGGAGCGAAAGCGUGGGGAGCAAACGGG
rnacentral:rRNA from 1 species